GAGUUUGAUCGUGGCUCAGAUUGAACGCUGGCGGCGUGCUUAACACAUGCAAGUCGAGCGGUAACAGGCGUAGCAAUACGUGCUGACGAGCGGCGAACGGGUGAGUAAUGCUUCGGAAUCUUCCUCGUAGUGGGGAAUAACCUGGGGAAACUCAGGCUAAUACCGCAUACGAACUACGGUUGAAAGCAGGGGAUCGCAAGACCUUGCGCUAUGAGAUGAGCCGAAGUCGGAUUAGCUAGUUGGUGAGGUAACGGCUCACCAAGGCGACGAUCCGUAGCUGGUCUGAGAGGACGACCAGCCACACUGGGACUGAGACACGGCCCAGACUCCUACGGGAGGCAGCAGUGGGGAAUAUUGGACAAUGGGGGCAACCCUGAUCCAGCGACGCCGCGUGUGUGAAGAAGGCCUGCGGGUUGUAAAGCACUUUUAGUGGGGAUGAAAAGCCGAAGGCUAAUACCUUUCGGCUUUGACCUAACCCAAAGAAAAGCACCGGCUAACUCUGUGCCAGCAGCAGCC
rnacentral:rRNA from 1 species